rnacentral:rRNA from 1 species
GUCUACAGCCAUGCUACCCUGAACAAGCCUGAUCUCGUCUGAUCUCAAAAGCUAAGCUGGGUCGGGCCUGGUUAGUGCUUGAAUGGGAGACCACCUAGGAAGACUAGGUGCUGUAGGCA